GAAAUGCGAUAAGUAAUGUGAAUUGCAGAAUUCAGUGAAUCAUCGAAUCUUUGAACGCACCUUGCGCUCCUUGGUAUUCCGAGGAGCAUGCCUGUUUGAGUGUCAUCAAUUUCUCAACCUCACCAACUUUGUGUUGCGGUGAAGGCUUGGACGUGGGGGUUGCAGGCUCACAUACGUGGUCUGCUCCUCUGAAAUGCAUUAGUGGGUUAGCCCCCUAAUCUAUUGGUGUGAUAAUUAUCUACGCCGUGGAUUUGGAUGGCUGUUAAAGACCUGCUUCUAACUGUCCUUCUGGGACAACUCUUGACAAUUUUGACCUCAAAUCAGGUAAGACUACCCGCUGAACUUAA
rnacentral:misc_RNA from 1 species